GACGAACGCUGGCGGCGUGCUUAACACAUGCAAGUCGAACGGAAAGGCCCUGCUUUUGUGGGGUGCUCGAGUGGCGAACGGGUGAGUAACACGUGAGUAACCUGCCCUUGACUUUGGGAUAACUUCAGGAAACUGGGGCUAAUACCGGAUAGGAGCUCCUGCUGCAUGGUGGGGGUUGGAAAGUUUCGGCGGUUGGGGAUGGACUCGCGGCUUAUCAGCUUGUUGGUGGGGUAGUGGCUUACCAAGGCUUUGACGGGUAGCCGGCCUGAGAGGGUGACCGGCCACAUUGGGACUGAGAUACGGCCCAGACUCCUACGGGAGGCAGCAGUGGGGAAUAUUGCACAAUGGGCGGAAGCCUGAUGCAGCAACGCCGCGUGCGGGAUGACGGCCUUCGGGUUGUAAACCGCUUUCGCCUGUGACGAAGCGUGAGUGACGGUAAUGGGUAAAGAAGCACCGGCUAACUACGUGCCAGCAGCCGCGGUGAUACGUAGGGUGCGAGCGUUGUCCGGAUUUAUUGGGCGUAAAGGGCUCGUAGGUGGUUGAUCGCGUCGGAAGUGUAAUCUUGGGGCUUAACCCUGAGCGUGCUUUCGAUACGGGUUGACUUGAGGAAGGUAGGGGAGAAUGGAAUUCCUGGUGGAGCGGUGGAAUGCGCAGAUAUCAGGAGGAACACCAGUGGCGAAGGCGGUUCUCUGGGCCUUUCCUGACGCUGAGGAGCGAAAGCGUGGGGAGCGAACAGGCUUAGAUACCCUGGUAGUCCACGCUGUAAACGGUGGGUACUAGGUGUGGGGUCCAUUCCACGGGUUCCGUGCCGUAGCUAACGCUUUAAGUACCCCGCCUGGGGAGUACGGCCGCAAGGCUAAAACUCAAAGGAAUUGACGGGGCCCCGCACAAGCGGCGGAGCAUGCGGAUUAAUUCGAUGCAACGCGUAGAACCUUACCUGGGUUUGACAUGGAUCGGGAGUGCUCAGAGAUGGGUGUGCCUCUUUUGGGGUCGGUUCACAGGUGGUGCAUGGCUGUCGUCAGCUCGUGUCGUGAGAUGUUGGGUUAAGUCCCGCAACGAGCGCAACCCUUGUUCACUGUUGCCAGCACGUUAUGGUGGGGACUCAGUGGAGACCGCCGAGGUCAACUCGGAGGAAGGUGGGGAUGACGUCAAGUCAUCAUGCCCCUUAUGUCCAGGGCUUCACGCAUGCUACAAUGGCUGGUACAGAGAGUGGCGAGCCUGUGAGGGUGAGCGAAUCUCGGAAAGCCGGUCUCAGUUCGGAUUGGGGUCUGCAACUCGACCUCAUGAAGUCGGAGUCGCUAGUAAUCGCAGAUCAGCAACGCUGCGGUGAAUACGUUCCCGGGGCU
rnacentral:rRNA from 1 species